ACAAUCUACCCGUCAUGCGGUGCGGCCGCUGCAACUUUAUCUAGGCAGCUGUGUUUUCCAUUGGCUAAUUCGUUUGCGCGCGGACCCACAAUCGUGCGCACGGCCCCACGAACGCCACAGCCAAUCGGGCCCUUUUCUUUGCACGCGGCACCACGUAACCCCGCGUUGUGGCUAUAAAUGCGUUGUCGACCUGGUAAACAUCAUUAAAGUCCGUAGAUUAAGAGCGAGAAGAGUUUUGAAGAGUGUCGAAGCUUUUGGAGAGGAUGGCAUGCAAGUGCGGAGAUCCCAGGUGCGUGUGUACCACGCAGUGCAAGUGUGCCCGCGGCGGAUGCCCCUGUGACAGGUG
rnacentral:lncRNA from 1 species